rnacentral:rRNA from 1 species
GACGAACCGUGCGAACGUUGUUCGGAAUCAUUGGGCUUAAAGGGCGCGUAGGCGGGUCUGCCAGUCAGGGGUGAAAGCCCACGGCUCAACCGUGGAAGUGCCUUUGAUACUGCAGAUCUCGAGGGAUGUAGGGGCGUGCGGAACUUCCGGUGUAGCGGUGAAAUGCGUAGAUAUCGGAAGGAAAACCGGUGGCGAAAGCGGCGCGCUGGACAUCUACUGACGCUGAGGCGCGAAAGCCAGGGGAGCAAACGGG